rnacentral:tRNA from 1 species
UCCCCGAUGGUCCAGUGGUUAAGACUUUGUGCUUCCAAUGCAGGGGUCAUGGGUUUCAUUCCUGGUCAGGGAA